rnacentral:rRNA from 1 species
UACGGGGGGUGCGAGCGUUGUCCGGAAUCACUGGGCGUAAAGGGCGCGUAGGUGGCGUGAUAAGGGUGUGGUGAAAGCCCGGGGCUCAACCCCGGGUCUGCCAUGCCGACUGUCAGGCUAGAGUACUGUAGGGGCAGGCGGAAUUCCGGGUGUAGCGGUGGAAUGCGUAGAGAUCCGGAGGAAGACCGGUGGCGAAGGCGGCCUGCUGGGCCAAUACUGACGCUGAGGUGCGAAAGCGUGGGGAGCGAACAGG